UCACUGUGCUUUGAUGUGGCCUCCACUAUU
rnacentral:piRNA from 1 species